AAGGCGCUUAAAUAAACCAUUUAAUGAUAGCUUAUUUAAACGUCUGUGAUCUAGUACAUGUAUUGCUGUGUGUAGUCUUUGCCUGUCACCUAAGACAGGCUUUUUUUUUG
rfam:Yersinia pestis CO92 complete genome